rnacentral:rRNA from 1 species
UACGUAGGGUGCGAGCGUUAAUCGGAAUUACUGGGCGUAAAGCGUGCGCAGGCGGUUUUGUAAGCCAGAUGUGAAAGCCCCGGGCUCAACCUGGGAAUGGCAUUUGGGACUGCAAGGCUGGAGUUUGGCAGAGGAGACUGGAAUUCCUGGUGUAGCAGUGAAAUGCGUAGAUAUCAGGAGGAAUACCGAUGGCGAAGGCAGGUCUCUGGGCUGAUAACUGACGCUCAUGCACGAAAGCGUGGGGAGCAACAGG